rnacentral:rRNA from 1 species
AAAACGACUCUCGGCAACGGAUAUCUCGGCUCUCGCAUCGAUGAAGAACGUAGCGAAAUGCGAUACUUGGUGUGAAUUGCAGAAUCCCGUGAACCAUCGAGUCUUUGAACGCAAGUUGCGCCCCAAGCCGUUAGGCCGAGGGCACACCUGCCUGGGUGUCACGC